rnacentral:rRNA from 1 species
UACGAAGGGGGCUAGCGUUGUUCGGAAUUACUGGGCGUAAAGCGCGCGUAGGCGGUUUUGCAAGCCAGAGGUGAAAUGCCUGAGCUCAACUCAGGAAUGGCCUUUGGGACUGCGAGGCUUUGAGGACUGGAGAGGUGAGUGGAAUUCCCAGUGUAGAGGUGAAAUUCGUAGAUAUUCGCAAGAACACCAGUGGCGAAGGCGGCUCACUGGCCCGAUACUGACGCUGAGGUGCGAAAGCGUGGGGAGCAAACGGG